GAGUCGCUCUUGUUCCUCCAGGAACUGCCGCAGUUGCUGAAAUUCAGACACAAUCUUCUGCCUCUCGGUUUGUAUUAGUUUCUCUUGAACUCUUCGGCAGUUU